CAGAUAUGAUUCAUCAGGCUAAUUGUUCUGACCGUGAGUACAUCUAAGUAUAAAGGACACCUGUCCACAACCCAAAACAGUCCCACUCCAAAGCCCACUAUGGCCAAGACCAAAGAGCUGUCAAAGGAAACCAGAAGCAAAAUUGUGACCUGCAUCAGGCUGGGACCGAAUCUGCAAUCGGCAGAUAUGAAAGGGAGGAGAAAUGGUUGUCUGGAAUGCGCAAGGAAAAUCUGAAAAGUCUGACGAGUACUCAGGGACAGAGAAGAGGCUGGACUCUUUACCUCUGGAGGGGUCUGCUGGCUGAGGAUGCACCACCUCAGUGUACUCCACAUCAGGCUCAUUGGACACCAUGCUGCUCUCCUCAUCAUUGGCUGCAUUGGAACAUGAAUAAAAGUCAUUUAAAAAAAAUCUCCUGACCUAACAACCUACUUUUACAACCUAAAUUCUAAAUAUUUGUUCCAUGAAAUUGUGCUUAUUCAUUCCCAUCAGUCUACUCCCGUAGCAGUUUUGUUGGAUGCACUGCUUCCAGUACGUGUAUGGGGAUGUUAGAUUUUGUUUUUGUCCAGUCAGAUUUGAGCAUCUAUGUCAGUGUAUUCCGUCCAGGGCCUUCAGAGUCAGUAGUGCUGGCUGAUGUAAUUUACACUAUAUUAGCAAUGGGACUGUUCCUUUAACUAAUCAGGUUUCAAAUUUGUCUUCACAGGACCAGCCUGACACCCGCGGCGCCAGUGAGCUGGCCCCCGAUGACGGCAGCAUUUGUCCGUCCUCUGAUUGGUUGGAAGUUCAUUCCGCAAUGAAGGCCCACGUAGCAAAUGCAUGAACCACCACUGUAAACAAAAGUCACAACGCAUUCUUCAUCUAAAGCAACAUUCAUACACAAACCUCUGGUUACCGUACCAUGUGCCUUUUAACAUAUCUAAUAUUAAUAUCUUUUGUUCCCAAUGUAUCCAUUUUGGUACCUUCCCACUUUGUGUCACCUUAGCAGUUAAACCUUCAGGAAACAAAAUCUCUCAGGCUUCAUUGCCAUCAGGCCUUACCUUUACAAUGACGAUGACAAUAUAGGCUGACAUGCUCACCUGUUUCAGGCGGCCGCUCGCUCCACACGCUGAUAUCUACUCUCUCCACUUUACCUGUGCAGACGAAAUAGACACACAGUGAGACUAAGCGUAGUUGGACAGAAUAUCUGAUGCAGGGAGAACCUAUAGGGACAUACUGCAACAGGUCAUCAAAAGCCCAGUUUACAGAGCCACACGUUUGAAUAUCAUCUGUUUCAUAUGAAAUGCAGCCUGCCGAGGAUUGAUUUAGCUUAGCAUAACGUGGCUGAAAAAAGUAGAAAUGUUCCAAUCCAAGUAUUUUGCUUUAUUCAGGCAAUUUUAAAUGUUUUCAAAUUACAGUAUGCUCUUCAAACAGUAAUUGUUGGAUCCAUGAUCUCGAGUAUGUUUAUCGCCAAAUUAAUUUGAUUAGAUUUUAACAACAUCUCAAUGUGUUCACUCGACCAGCUGACUGUGUUACGUUGUGUAAAUUGUCUUCCUUUAGUACAUUAGAUUAUGUUUACACAACUGCGUUGCUUAUCCCCAGCUGGUAAUGUAAUCUCACGUUGCUUAAAUAAGGUUUAUGAGAUUAAUUUCCUUCGCAUGCUACGCACAUUCAAACCAACAAAAGCUGUUUUGUGUCAACAUAGGAAGUUUCGCGCAGACUCCAUUGUUUCACUUUGUAAAGGAAGUCACUGUAGUGCAUUCCUUUUUGGGAAAGGAAUCAAGUUAGUGUUAGAUUUGCCCAUAGUCUUGCUUUGGCCUUAUGUAGGACAUAAUGCAUGAUGAUAAGAUAAUCUUUCUUUCGAAGCAUUUUUGUAAAUCAAUUUAGUGUUAUAUGCAGUAGUUGCAGCAAAUGAAUGGGGAUGACACGCAUCUAAAUAGAACCAAUUUAUUUAUUCUAAAAGGAUUUGAGCAAGCCAAGGAAUCAACCAAAAUAUAUACACACAUUUCCUACGAUAGUGAUAAAAGGGAUCUGAAAAUCAAACAGUCAACAAUGAUGCUCAAACAUGUCCCAACAUUGCAAAAACAUGCACCUGCGGACGAGCAUACAAAGAAGCACAGGACAAAGACAGUGAUGUUAAAUAAAAAUAAAAUAUAAAAAAAUCGAGAAAAACAAAGGCCAUCUAGAUUGCAGGGGGAGGGGAGAGGGAGCAGCAGGAGACGAGUCAUUGCUCUUGUAACACAUCCCUCGACAUGUGGGACGAAAGGUUCCUUUUGUUGGUGUUUCUUUGAAUGUUUUUGUUCUGUUUUACAAGUGUCUCCCCGCCCCUUGCAAAGCAGGGCGUCUCUACACUGUGGCUGGGAUACUGAAGCUGCUCCUGUUGCUGAUGUCAGUGGGAAGCGACACCGCGCUAGCUCGUGUCCCAUUGGUCACCCUCCCCUCCAUGCCAUCAUAGUGUGGCACUCCGUCUGGAACAAGAUGAUAAUGGGCGCUCUAAACAGUUUGCAGCAUUUGACAAUGUCAUUCACUAAUAUUCAACUCUAAGCAGCUUCUUCCUGCUUGGCGAGACACUGUCCCUACAACAAUUCCUGUUUUGGUUGCCUCAGGAAUAGACAGAGAGAGACAAUGUACAUGCAAAAUGUCAGCAACUAAACACUUUCAUGUAACACUGAGCAACAACAAAACAUGUUUAUGUUAAACAAAGGUUACAACAAUGUCACCCCUGCAUGCAUAUUAGAACAUGGAUGAUGGAGUGAGGAUGGAUCGCAAUGGCUACCACACACAACAUGCUAUGAAAGGACUCGUGUUUGGAUUAAUGACUGAUGAAGAUAGCCAGUGGAGCACAAUUAAAAAAAAAGUAAAACACAAUCUACCUGGGGCUGCAUUAUUAACCUCUGUGUCGCGGGUUAGACUCACUGUUAAAGAGUCAUCUGAUUUAGGGCUCGAAGGCUUUCUGAGAAAUGGUGAGAAUAAAGUCAACUGGACGAACUCUAAAAGAUGUCAGAUCAUCCGAAGUCUACAAAAUGUCAGAAGAGAACAAUACUGGAAAUGUUGUGUGUUGGAACCUAUUGAGAUCAAGCUGCUUGAAACGUUUGUCACGACACAUAAGGAUAUGUGUCUUUUAAAAAAAAAAAAAAAAAACUACACGCAGAAUUACACUUCUAGAGGUCAUAGACUCC